rnacentral:tRNA from 1 species
CUUUCGAUAGUUCAGUUGGUAGAGUGGAGGACUGUAGAUCCUUAGGUCGCUGGUUCGAAUCCGGCUCGAAGGA